rnacentral:rRNA from 1 species
CCUACGGGAGGCAGCAGUGGGGGAUAUUGCACAAUGGGGGAAACCCUGAUGCAGCGACGCCGCGUGAGUGAAGAAGUAUUUCGGUAUGUAAAGCUCUAUCAGCAGGGAAGAAAAUGACAGUACCUGACCAAGAAGCCCCGGCUAACUACGUGCCAGCAGCCGCGGUAAUACGUAGGGGGCAAGCGUUAUCCGGAUUUACUGGGUGUAAAGGGAGCGUAGACGGUUAUGUAAGUCUGGAGUGAAAGUCUGGGGCUCAACCCCGGGACUGCUUUGGAUACUGUGUGACUUGAGUACAGGAGGGGCAGGCGGAAUUCCUGGUGUAGCGGUGAAAUGCGUAGAUAUCAGGAGGAACACCGGCGGCGAAGGCGGCCUGCUGGACUGAAACUGACGUUGAGGCUCGAAAGCGUGGGGAGCAAACAGGAUUAGAUACCCGAGUAGUC